UGGGGAAUAUUGGACAAUGGGGGGAACCCUGAUCCAGCCAUGCCGCGUGUGUGAAGAAGGCCUUAUGGUUGUAAAGCACUUUAAGCGAGGAGGAGGAGCUCUAGGCUAAUAUCCUAGAUGCUUGGACGUUACUCGCAGAAUAAGCACCGGCUAACUCUGUGCCAGCAGCCGCGGUAAUACAGAGGGUGCGAGCGUUAAUCGGAUUUACUGGGCGUAAAGCGUACGUAGGCGGCUUUUUAAGUCGGAUGUGAAAUCCCUGAGCUUAACUUAGGAAUUGCAUUCGAUACUGGGAAGCUAGAGUAUGGGAGAGGAUGGUAGAAUUCCAGGUGUAGCGGUGAAAUGCGUAGAGAUCUGGAGGAAUACCGAUGGCGAAGGCAGCCAUCUGGCCUAAUACUGACGCUGAGGUACGAAAGCAUGGGGAGCAAACA
rnacentral:rRNA from 1 species